GGUUCCAUGGUGUUAUGGUUAGCACUCUGGACUCUGAAUCCAGCAAACCAAUUUCAAAUUUCGGUGGGACCU
rfam:Danio rerio chromosome 4, GRCz11 reference primary assembly.